GCUCCCACCAAUGGCGGGUUCCGCCUGGGAGCGCGGUGUCCCGUAGCGCUGUAGGUGACCAAGAUUGACAGUGUCCUGCAUGUUUUGAAAGAGUCAGAGGGCUGGAUUUUGAAAUGGUCCUAACACAGAGAAUGAUAUUGGAGGGGAUGGACAUGCUAAUAACACUGAUUUGCUCAUUAGACAGUGUAUACAUGCGUCCACAUAUCACACUGUACCCCAUCCAUAUGUGCAGUUAUUAAGUUUCCUUAAAAACAUGAAUGACAGCAAAAAAAACCUUGGGAUGUCUGAAGUGCAUUAACUUACUGCAAUUUAAUUCAGUUGAAUUCUACCAAAUACUCUAGACAAAAUACUUAUAAAAUAAAUUAUCAAAAACAAAAAAGUUGAUACAUAGAAGCAAAUACAGCAUAAGGUGGAGGCUUUUGUUCUUAAAAUACGGUUUCCGUCAUGUUAUCCCCUCACUCAAAGCUUUCAGAGCUUCCCUAUUAUCCAAAGACCAGACCUGUAAGGUUGACACUGAAGGUCCUCCCACACCGACCUCUGAGCUGUCCAUGCAGUGGCACCUCCAGGUCUCGGAGCAGCAGCCCAGUCAGUCCAGGAAUCCUCUCCAGGAAAGGCUCAGUGGGAACGGCUCAAAGGAUAGACAAUGCGUAGGAUGAUGGCUCUGCAACCUCAAGGAAUCUACGAUUGCCUGUGAAGCCAGCUAUGUGCUUGCACGAUAAUUUCAGUUUUCAUUCAUGGGAAUUCCAAUCUCACUCUGUCAUAUUCCUGAUCCAUAAAGCCCAAUUCCCCCCAUUCACGUGGUGAUGGGAGUAGCUGGGAAAACGAGAGGCUGAGAAAUUCCGUUUUCAACUGGAACGCGAGUCGUGGCUCCAUUUGUGCUCCAGGGGGCGCCAUCACACAAGACGCUGAGGUAUUUGUUAAAGAGAGAUCUAUCCGCAACACACGGAAAAUGAACUUUUGAUUAUCACCGGCUCUGUUCUGGAGAAGGCGUGCUGCUUCGCUCUAAAGUCACACAAUGAGCAACAUCGACACGCGUGUGCUGCCUAGGGGACAGACGAGACCA